UGAAGAGGCGGAGGACAGGUGGUGAUGGUGAUGGUGGUGGUGGUGAUGGAGAUGAGGCGGCUGCUGCUGCUGCUGCUGCUCGGCCGGGUGGUGAUGGUGGUACUGAUGAUGCUGCGUACCGGGCUGGGAGACUUGCGGCUGCCGGUAGGCGCCCAGCUGGGACCCGAGGCUCCCCGCGGCGAGAUCCAUGCCUCCGAACCUCCGGUAGCUGUCCUCCAUCGGGCUCAAAAUGUCGAUGACUGAGAAGGGGGUGGAGUGCUUUGGGCUGAAGGACAUGGUGCGGACGCCCCCCGUGCUUGUGGCUGGAUGUGGUCCGGGUCUUGGUCCGGCGGCUCUCUGCCUGCGUCCCCCUCCCUCCCUCCGGCUGCGUGCGCUGCUCCGUCUCCCUGGGAAAGAAGUCCAGCUGGUCGGCUGCGAAGGAGGAGACGAGCCUCCCAACGCGCACGCGGAGGGGCGGAGCGACGCGCGCGCGCGCAGCUAACAAAAGGCAAUUGACAUUAGAGGAGCCACCGGGACCUCCGCGGAGCGUCGCCCCGGGGCUCAGAGCGGCUGCUGCGGGCUUUGAGAGGGGGGAACCGGGCGGGACGGACCGGAAACACACCGGGGACUAAAUGAAUCCUCGUGGAGCAGAUUUACAGAUGUUUAGUGGUCAUGUUCAAGGUGAAUUAAUUACAGCUGCAAGGCCUUUAAGUCAUUAUUAGUAUCUUUAUUCAUAUAUAUAUAUGAAUAUAUCUUAAAGGAGCUUUUUAUAAAUGUUACUAUUGUCUGUUAAACAUGAGUUUAAGGUGAAUUAAUUCUAAGCGACGUUUCUCUGAUGUAUCUUAUAGUUAUAAUAAUUCUAUAUGGACUUUACAAAGUAUAUUGUUGAACUGAUUUAUGUCUCUGCUGUUCUUUAAUAACUUUAUAAUAACGAAAAGCUUUUUAGCAACGUUACAACAAUAAUAGUUUAAGGUGAAUUCAUUCUACUUAGAUGUUUUUUUAACUCUUAUCGCUUUAUGAUUUAUAUGAUUAUGAUUUAAAGUCACUUCAUGUUAACUUUUAUUAAAUCUGCCUCUAAAGUUA